CUCCUCCUACUUUUUAUUUUAUUUCAAACCUUAGCAGCAACCAUUCUCCUCCAUUACCGCCACCACUUGCUCGCUUCGCCGCCGUUCACCGCUCAGGUAGGUCUUCGGUCAGCGUCCCAAAAGCUUACACGCUGUGACCCGAACCCCCCCUCCGUGGUCGUGGUACUGGCCUGCACAUUAAGACUGAAAACCGGUCUCUUUGUUUUACUCCGUCACUGCUCCGACCGUCGCAAGUGUCGGGGCUACUCGUAGGAAGCUCGAUCUAGCCGGUGGUGCGCUCGGGUGACCCUUGUUGGCCGUGAGGGAGGCUAAAAACACCAUUGUCGAAUCUGUUUCGCGGGAUGACUUCCGUUUGGUAGCGUGAGUUCACCGUGGCCGGCUGUGAUGGUCAUCGGUUCUUUGGGACUGCUGUCGGUGAAGUUUCGUUGCCGACAGCCCCUGUUAUUCGAACCAAACCCGGGGAUAUCGAGUCGGAAUCAGGGUUACCGUCUCCUCCACCGUCACUCUUUAAUUUCCACCGUCACUCUUCAAUUUUGAAUUGAACCAUGUUACGAGUGUUGACUGUGAGUGGUGACAGCUAUUUUUACUCGUCAGGUUUUGUCGGAUAUUUAGAUUAUUAUUUAAAUUAUUAAAUUAUUUUGUAAGUUCUGAUUCGGAUCGAUUCACUGUUCGAGCUAACCGAGGAAAAGGUUAUUAUCGUCCUUAAUUGUUUGUCGAGGUUUGUCUCACUAUUCGGUGUUAUAUUAUUUUGUUUGAAUGCUUAAUGGCUUGUUUGGUUGGAAAAUGUUUGAAAACAAUUCUAACUAUGAAAUUGAUUGAAAUAAAUGUGAAAAUGCCACGUGAUACAUGUUUUACUGUAGGAAUGGGAAUAUUGCUGUGCAUACGUAUUAUGUAAGUAUGUUGAAUGAUCGAAAUUGAAAAAUAUGCUUCGGAUUAUUUGUUAUGAAGUAUUGUUAUUUGAAUCGGAUCGGACAUUGGAUAUGUAUGUCAUUUGAAGUCACUUUUGGAUUCAGCCUUUUUAGCUGACCCACUUCAUAUGGUGUGGUUUGAUUGUAGAUAGUGUGAUUAUAGAAAAUCAACUCGUUGGAUGAUGUGACGGGAGUACGGACUCACUAAGGGUCCGUUUGUUUGGAGAAAACAAUUUACAGAAACUGUUUUCCCCGUUUUCCCUUGUUGGGUUCAUGUAAAAGUGGUUGGGCAAAGGAAAAUAUUUUUCCGUUCAAAAGAAAAUGGCCCCCUUAUCCAGUAAAACAACUUACGGUCUGUAAAAGGGUAAGUCAUUUUCCGGCUUCACCUUCAAAGCUGAUACCCAAAAUUGUCUGAUCAAACACCACCAUCGACUGCUCACCGACGACGU